UACCGAGGUCUCAAGCGUUGUUCGGAUUCAUUGGGCGUAAAGGGUGCGUAGGCGGCGCGGUAAGUCGGGUGUGAAAUCUUGGAGCUUAACUCCGAAACUGCAUUCGAUACUGCCGUGCUUGAGGACUGGAGAGGAGACUGGAAUUUACGGUGUAGCGGUGAAAUGCGUGGAUAUCGUAAGGAAGACCAGUGGCGAAGGCGGGUCUCUGGACAGUUCCUGACGCUGAGGCACGAAGGCCAGGGGAGCAAACGGG
rnacentral:rRNA from 1 species